GAUGAAGAACGUAGCGAAAUGCGAUAAGUAAUGUGAAUUGCAGAAUUCAGUGAAUCAUCGAAUCUUUGAACGCACAUUGCGCCCGUCAGUAUUCUGGCGGGCAUGCCUGUUCGAGCGUCAUUACGCCCCUUAAGUCCCCUGUGGACUUGGUGUUGGGGAUCGGCGAGGCUGGUUUUCCAGCACAGCCGUCCCUUAAAUUAAUUGGCGGUCUCGCCGUGGCCCUCCUCUGCGCAGUAGUAAAACACUCGCAACAGGAGCCCGGCGCGGUCCACUGCCGUAAAACCCCCCAACUUUUUAUAGUUGACCUCGAAUCAGGUAGGACUACCCGCUGAACUUAAGCAUAUCAAUAAGCGGAGGA
rnacentral:misc_RNA from 1 species